CACUGACAGCUCCACAACCCAGCCAAGGACUUCUCUGCAGCUCACCCCAUCCGACCGACCGGCCGACCUAACUAAAAAUGGCCAUCUACUGAGCUUUGAACCGUGGAACGUCUAUAGUUGUUUGUCUUUAUUUUUUUUUUAAUGAUACUGACAUUGUGAGUCCGGCCUCCAAACAUGUCUACUGAUGUAGAGUCUACGACCAGCACUUCAACUGAGGUGGCACCAGUCAGCAAACCUGCAACAAAGAAGGAAAAGAAAAAAGGUACC